UUGGUUGGGAAUCUAGUGAUAGCUAGAAAUG
rnacentral:piRNA from 1 species